rnacentral:lncRNA from 1 species
CAGGACAUCACAGGUGCAUUGUUUAUUUGUAUGGGGGUAAAACAGGAGACCAGGGCAGUCACUUGAUGGGAGGCACACAGCUAGUGAGAAGCCCAGGCAGGGUUCGGACUCAGGUCUAAGUCAAGAGCUAGUGCCCGCAACUGCCACCAGCACCACCCUUCGGGGAUCCUUCUGUCUGCAGUGACAGAGCAGCAGCUCCAGAACUGACUUGCCGGGCGUUGAACCUGGUUCUGUUACUUAACUAAUUGCAGAAUUUCGGGCAAGUCAUUGAACUGCUCUGCCUCCGUGUUCCCACCUGUAAAAGGGGAACAUGACUGUAAAGGUUACACAGGUUAACAUGAAGUACAUAGAACCGUGCAUGGUGUGAGUUGUUGUUACCAUUGUUUAUUAAGCCCCCACCUUCCUGCUUCUUUGCCCUUUCCUCUCCUUUCCUCUCGUAACUGACUUAAAGCAUUGUGGGUCACUGGGAGGGGCGUGUUGGUCAGGGUCAACAGGGGGUGAAGCCAGGACUCAGCACUGUAGUCAGAAGGUGACAUAUUUAACAGGGCCUGCCAGUGCUGUUCUGAGAACUGCCCCCACCCAUUGGGCUCCCUGUACCUCAGUUUCCAUAUCUGUGAAAUGGUCAUAGCAAUAGUACGGGCCCACCACGGAUUAAACGAGAUAAGACUUAUAAAUUACAAAGCCUGAAACAAAGGAGGGGUUGCCUGUAGUCUGGCCACAGUGCACAGGCCUUCAACACGUGAUUAAAUAGACCUGGAUUGAAAUCCCAGAUCCUCUGCAUGAUAUGGGCAAAUAGCAUCCCUCCCCGAGUCUCAAUAUUCUUAUCUACAGAAUGGGAGCAAUAUAAUGAGGGCAGUGGUUCUCAACAGGUCGUCUCCAAAACAGAAGCAACAGGCCGGGCGAGGUGGUUCGUGUCUGUAAUUCCAGCACUUUGGGAGAUCGAGGCAGGAGGAAUACUUGAGCCCAGGAGUUUGAGACCAGCCUGGGCAAUAUGGCAAGACCCCAUCUCUAUUUAAAAAAAAACAAACAAAUCCAGAAGCAACAGCACCCUAUGGGAACUGUUAGAAAAUGCAAAUUCUAGUAAGCCCUUCUUGUGACUGUGAUGCUUGCUGAAGUUUGAGAAGCACUGGAUUAGAAUGAUCUACUCCUCAGCUGAUUGGGCGAGGAGUAUCCUGAUUCCAAGCAGGGGCAAUUGCAUCUCUCUCCUGGGAACUGGGGAUUGGAGAUGUUAGACUCUGUGUCACUUCUAUGAAAGAUGGGGGCUAACUUGGGGGUCCAGACGUCAUCUGGGGGCAUCCGCUUGCCUUCACAGUUGAGAGGGCAGUUCUGCAGAGAGAGAUGCAGAAAAGAGAGGUCUCAGAGUAAUAUCCCAGUCCGGGUCUGGGGGGCACCCAGGUCUCAACCCUGUGUCCACUGAGACUGAGCAGCUCCCCUGCUCCUGGGUUCUUCUGAUUACUCCCUUUUUUCUCCCAAGUUUGUUUGAAGGGGCUUCUGUCACUUGCAAGUAAAAGGGUUCUGGCAUGUUGAGGGAUGGGGGUCAGGAUCAAGGGGGUGCAUGAGGUUCAAGGGUCAUAAGCCUGAGGAGAGCCACUUCCCUUCCUUUCCCUGCCCAACUGCUAGCCCAGGCAGAAGAUUUGAGUCCCACUGCCUCUGAGAAUGGGACCAAGGGGAAAAGGAAGGUGUCUGGGCAGUGAUAAAACAGGUGAGCUACCAGGACUCAUCUCAGAUCACUUCUGGGUUCCCACACUGUUCUUGGUCCAGGUUCUUGUAAUGAAACCUCACUCAUCUCCCCAGAGAGCUGUAGGAGCAACCCUAUCCCAACUGGUUGGAAAAGAGCCAUGAUAAAGGUGAAGAGUCGAGAUGCAUGCACGUCUGCG